CUCGGCGUAGCGCAGUGGGUAGCGCGCGUGCUUUGGGAGCAUGAGGUCGUCCGUUCGAGCCGGACCGCCGAGA
rnacentral:tRNA from 1 species